rnacentral:rRNA from 1 species
AACGAACGCUGGCGGCAUGCCUAACACAUGCAAGUCGAACGAGACCUUCGGGUCUAGUGGCGCACGGGUGCGUAACGCGUGGGAACCUGCCCUUAGGUUCGGAAUAACUCCCCGAAAGGGGUGCUAAUACCGGAUAAUGUCUUCGGACCAAAGAUUUAUCGCCUUUGGAUGGGCCCGCGUUGGAUUAGCUAGUUGGUAGGGUAAAAGCCUACCAAGGCGACGAUCCAUAGCUGGUCUGAGAGGAUGAUCAGCCACACUGGGACUGAGACACGGCCCAGACUCCUACGGGAGGCAGCAGUGGGGAAUAUUGGACAAUGGGCGAAAGCCUGAUCCAGCAAUGCCGCGUGAGUGAUGAAGGCCUUAGGGUGUAAAGCUCUUUUACCCGGGAUGAUAAUGACAGUACCGGGAGAAUAAGCUCCGGCUAACUCCGUG